rnacentral:lncRNA from 1 species
CUUCAGCUGAAGCCGCUGGGAAGCCAGCCUCCCAGGAGGGCUCGGUGCUGGCACUGGAAGUGAGUGAGAAACCAACUCAGACAUCAAACUGCAGAAUACUGUUUACCUACGCGAGCUGAGGGGAGCAGUCGGAGCAGCAGGCUUGGGUUUGCCUGGACGCUGGAAGAGAGUCUGGACCUGAUGGCGAGCCUCUUCCUGUCUGUGGCCACUCAGGUGCCAUUCAGGUAGCACUCAGGGGCGGGUAGUGCAGGAUUACUCAUGCCAUCCCAGCACUUUCUCGUUUCCCUUUUGAUUUCACAGGUUCCAUCCACCCAUUUAGAAAUCAUUUGUUGUCCCUUUAGGUGCUGGGAAAAACAAAGUAAGAGACUCGGUCCACCUGCUGUCAAGAAAACCACACUCCAAAGAGGAGAAGAGAAACCCAGGGAGGAACUGCACGUGCCAAGAGAAGCUGGCCAGGGAUGGCCAUCUGGGAGAGGAACAGAUGGCGAGAGCCCAUGUGGGCUGGGACCUUGAGCCGGGCUCUUGGAGGAGGGUGAGCAUCCUCCAGGUGAGAAGGGAGCCAGGAAAGCCGAUGCCUCGGUGGGGUGGCCUGGCCACAGUGAAGGACGACCGUGGGUGAGCUGGGUGAGGGAGAAGCUGCAGCACUCAGAGCUGACUGUGAACUUGUGGUUCAGGGCUCCAGGAAAACGCAGACCUCCCUCUGGGUCAGCACCAGGCUUUCUGGGGCAUGCGCCCUUUAGUUCCAGACAUUUUUCUGGGAAAGAAGAGUGUCCGUACAAUCCAACUGGAGUCCUUGGAGUUAGGAAAAUAUGAGAAUCGUGUUUUAUUUAGGAUUUUCAAAGUUUUGAGGAAAGUACAAAGAGAAGAGCCAGCAAAUAGCAGAGAGAGGUAAGAAGAAGUGGCAGGAAAGAAUGAGGGAAGGUAGGGAGACCCAGCCGCCAACCCAGCGCAGGGGGCUCCACUCUGGAAGAUCCUUGGCUUAAGUCUUCAUCUGGCGGGUUGAAACUCCCGGCAUGUGAGUCAAGCCUGGAGACGCUCAUGUGGUGGGCAAUAAGGUAAAUGUACCCUUUUCCUGUGACAGAAAUUCCAAACAUUAAGCAUGUGGAGCAGCUCUAGCUGUUCCCCGGUGCAGACAGGCGACGUAAGUAAGUGACUGUAUGUUCUGCCUUCAGCACCUCUUUCAGCCAAGAGCAAAAACUGGAUUGUAAGGAUAUCCUGUUAAACAAUCCAAAGUUUCCUCCUCCUCCUCCUCCCCCUCCCCCCCUUCCCUUUCUCCUUCCCCUUCCCCUCCACCUUCCCCUUCCCCUCCCCGUUCUCCUUCUUCAGCUUGCUUAAAGUCGCUACCUUAUCCCAUUCUCCCUCUGAUUCCAUGUAAGCUCCCCAGGGCCAAAGUCUGGGUGGGAAGGUGUUACCACUGUUGACCAGUGAGGAGUCCUUGCUUCCCCAAUGUUGAAGAGUAACAGCAGAGAAGCACACCGAGAGAGGCAAGGUCAGAGUGGAAAGUAGAGGCUUUAUUAAAGGACAGCAGAAAAGACUUCUCCCGGAGGAAGAAGGGGACCCAAGAGGUGGAAUCCGUGGAAGGGCGGUUGUCUCCCCUUUUUAUAGUUCCUUCAGUCAUGGAAUGUAGGUGGGCAGGCCCGAGGGGUGGGGCACAGGUGGGCCAAAGAAGAAAUCUGGGCAGGAAGGACUUUUGAGUCAGCAUCUUCAAGUUUGCUGGGAGCUGUUCAUUAACACUUCUUUGGGAUGGGCUCUGGGCCUUGGGGACAUUAACAUUCCAUGAGUUAUCCUGCAUUUCCCAGACUUCAUUAACAUUCCAGGAGUUGUUCAGCUUUUCCUGGAAUUCAUUCUCAACAUGGCCUCCAUUUUGGAUCUUACUCGAUAUUAGACCUGAUUUACCUAACUACACUGACCACCUAACUUUAAAUCUGGCUUCAAAGGUGCUAGGUGUUCGGGUGUCAGGGUCCCUUCUCAGAGCUCAGUGGAUUUCCAUGGGACUGCUGACCCCUGGUUACUGGCACCUGGACCCUCUGACAUUGCAGAGAUACAUGUUUCCAUUGCCCCCCAACCUGGCCAACUCCUCUCUGCCAGGAGGACUAGCCCAGAUUUACUCAAUCCAUGGGUGGCAACCAGAACUCAAGAUUUCCAGGAUGGGCGGGAAUCACAAGAUCUUGACUCCAGUCUCCAGGGCAUGAGUGGAGCCUCUCUCAGGCUAACACGAAAGGCAAAGAGGACCUUCCUCCCUCCUUAUCCUUCUGCUGUCCAAUGCCUCUGUCAGAAUGGAAGUUCUUUUCACUAUUAGGCUACUGAAAAACUUGAGAUGCAGAAACAACAACAACACGUGUCCAAGUUCACUGAGCGAGUGAGUAAACCAAGCCUUCACCUGGGGUCUCCUGACUUCCUGAUACUUGGGCUUCUCUAAACCCUUGCUAGGGAAUACUCAAUUGCCCUAAGGUUAGGAAUUCUUCCUCAUUACCUUGUCCCUAAGUUUUGCUUCUGGAAGGAAACACAGACACUCAUUCAACCAAGCGUUUAUGGCCCUUUAGCUGCACAAAUGCUGUGCUGAAGAUGAGGUGAGAGGGAUAAAGGGACCAGCCUCCAACAACAUAGUCUCCACUGCAAACAAACAAAAGACAGUUCGCCGGACCCAGAGCUUCUGCAAGGCGUGGAGAUGAAGACUGGACGUUUUAAACCUGUUUGCCACUGGGAACUGUCACUGUGCUCCCCGUGAGCAUGGCUCCUCAGGGCCUCCAGCUGCUGUCUGAACGGUUACUCUCAUAAACCUCAGGCUAGAGGGCCCCUAGGAGUCAAUGUCGGCAUCCCAUUCAGGGAAGGUCAGGCCCUCAGCAGGUGAAGUCUGCACAUAACUGAGGCCAAGGCAAGGCUUCGCAGUCCUGUGCCAGAGGGACUGUUAUCAGGGAGGUUUGGGUGCUCAUGUCUCACGUGUUUUGACCACAGUAGCAGCAGGUGCACAAGAUCUGCGAUGAGGAUGGUGAGGGAAGGAAAGUCAGACCACAGAGUCAGAAACCAGGGUUGGCCUCCAGGGCUGUCAACAAAAUAAGCAAAGGCAAUCCCCGAACAGGAGGGGGCGCUAGAGGGCAGCAGCAGGAAAGUGAAGGUGGGCUUGGGUCAGGGGAAGACCUAGGAAGGAUACACGGUACACCAGGGAGAUGAAUCUGGCAAUGCCUUGGAUUAGUCGGGUGGGGCUACAGAGGAAAAAUGCCAUGAGUGGUUUGAAAGACAGGAAUUUCUCUUCUCCUUGUUCUGGAGGCUGUAAGUCCAACCCCAAGGUGUCCGGUGUGUUCUGGAUCCACUCUCUAGCUUGCCAGUGGCCUCCUAACUGUGUCUGCAUGACCCUUUCUUAUGUGCAUGUUCCUGGUGCCCCUGGUGUGUCCGAUCUACUCUUCUCAUAAGGACUCCAGCCUGAUGGGCUCAGGGACACCCCACCAGUCUGCCUUUACCUCCAUUGCUCCUGCAAAAUCCCCAACACAGUCAUGUUCUGAGGCUCUGAGGGUUAGGGCUUCCACAUCUUGGAGGCACAAUUCCAAGGGUCACGGGCAGGAGAAGGAAGAGAUGCCUGAGACGAAGGGGAGUGAAAACUGCCAGGGACAGUGAGGGAGGGACAGGAGCUACAGAAAGGUGUCCAGGGAGGCACGGACAGGGCCCAACUACCAGAGGCAUGUGCGUGGGGCAACGUGUGGAGAUGCCCUCAAAGGUACGCCAGCCACCAGCAGGUCAAAAAUGUCACACGAGAUGGCAGCAGCCACCACAAGACUCUCCUUUGUCCGGGAAGCAAAUGUUCCAGGUUGCCCAGUUUCUAAGAGAACCGAGGUCACAGACACCUUGGUUUUGGACUUCAGCCAUUAACCCCAAUGCUGAAAUCAGCCUGUGGUUCCCAUGAACCGCUGAGCAGGUCCGAGAGGAAACGGAGGCCCGUGCCAGUUACUGGACAGAGCGCGUGCCCUAAGGACCCCACUGAUGACAGAAAGUGGGAGCUCGCCCAGCCCUUUCAAAAGAAGCAAGUGCAGAGAUUCUGAGGGGCAUUCCAGAGGCCCAACCAGGACAGAGCCCGUUUUGUUCUUUAGAUGGUUUUAGUGAACUCCAUUCUCCACUGGGGAAGAUGGACUUGGGAACCAAAACUAGGAACUGGGAAUUUUCAGUCAGGCAAAGUGGAGAGUCAUGAUGUGGAACCUGAGGGGACCUGGCCACAUCGGUGCCAUAGUCCACAGAGGAGAGGGUCCUGGCUUUGCUUAGAGACCAUGCAGACGGGAAGAGUCAGGGCAGAGGAUGCAGCUCAGUGGUAGAGAACUUGCCAAGCGUGUGUGAUCCCCUAGGUUCCUUCCUCAGCACCACAAAAAGAAAGAAAGAAGAAAUAUAUAUACAUAGAUAGAUAGAUAUACACACAUUUAUACAUAAACAUGCUGGGGAGACCCAUGGAAACCAAAUGACUAUAAAUGCUUUAAGGCACUAAACUUUUGCUAAUUUGUUAGGCACUAACAAAAAUCUAAAAAUCUAAUGUGCCUACCAAUCAUCAGGGGAUCCCUGAGAUUCAUCCUAACUAGUCUCAGGCAAUGCAAAUUUGCCACUCUAGAAUCACAUCUGCAGCAAACACUAGUUAGAUGCCUAUUGAGAGAGCUUCCGAUUCUAUGGUUACAACCAGCCAGGGAAGAAAACAGCACGGGAGUUAGAGGAAAAAAAUUGUCACCAGUUGCAAAUAUCUAAACUGAUUUUUGCAAUUUCACUAAAAACUGAAUGAUUAUGUUGAGCAAGUUUAAAUGCAUAUGGAAGUCGUUCACGGGAGUCGUUUUCAAGGAAUACAUAAUGCUGAGCAGGAGGAGGGAAAGGGCCAGUGAUGAAAUACAGGGUUGGAAGGAAAAAUGCUGCAGACUUCCCGCUUUGCCUACGUAUUGCAUAUGCAAGGGAUGGGUCCUGUGCAGGGCUGACCUGUUGCACAAACGAGCUGAGCAUUCUGAGCGACAGGAGAGUCCUCCGGAAAUGAGGGGCCACUCUUUGUCACAACGAAAGUCUAAAACACCGGAGCCUUGGGGGGACACCUAAUGCUCAUUAUUGUUUAACGUUUAAUUUAUCAGGAUUAACUUGUGGUCUAACUCCUGCUCUUCCCACUUCUGGGGGGGACAUACCAUGCCCUAUUCCAUGUGGCCCUGCUGUGCAAUUGAGACCUUCAUCCAUGGGGCUCCAGGGCACCCCCUUCAAACGUGACUUCAAGGAGAAAAUUCAUAAGAGUAGACAGAGUUAGAUGAUGAAGGUUCUUAGUAGGAAAGGUGAAGGAGACUUUGAUUUUUAACAGAGCAUCCUAGGGACAGAUAGGACAGAGGAAGAGAGAGGAGCGGAAGGCAGUCGGCAGGACCCAGGAGUACCACAGGAGACUGAAGAGGACGUGAGCCAGGAGGCACAGAGUUCAGUCAUGCCUAGCUUCUGAAGUGCCACCACAAUGGGGUGACUGGGUGCUGAAUGCAUUCUCAGCUGGGAACCAAGGACAAAUGGCACUUUGCCCACCACAAUGCAUUACAGGCCCAAGCCCAGUGUGUCCAAAACCCACCGCCUUGGGAGAGUUCCCCUUUAAGCCUGCGUGGGCUGCCCCCUUCCCCACAGUAUGCAUUUUUUUGCAGGUGCAUUUGCUUGUAUUUUGCAAAACAGAAUCUUGCUUUGUUGUAACUUUCCCUCUUUUUUGUCCUCUUCAUUGUCUGCAGCUCCUAAUUGGUAUUUGUAAUAACUCCCAGUUUAGUAUCAUCUGCAAGUUUCAUUAACAUGCUGAUUGCUCCUUUGUCAUUAAUAAAAACAUUAAAUUAUUAUUUAACAUUCAUUGUGCACCAACAAUGUAUUAGGAGUUUUGCAGGAUAGAAGAGCGGAUUCCGCUCUCUCUGCAACCUCAUUUUCUUGUCCCUGAAAAGUUCUCAAAUAGCUGAGCACAGUGGAGUUUUUGUCCUCCUCCUCCUUUGUGGACCCCAAGGGAGGCCUACUUCAGGAUCUUUUGUGCUGGGUGGAGCCAUCAAGCAAAAUCCCUGGAGCUUCUCUCUCCUGAGAGUGAGUUUUAUUUCCCAGCCGGUCACCUCUCAGCUGUUGCUCUUGCCAUUGAUCAACAAUUUAUACCCUUUCAGUUUCACCCCA